UGCUGGAGGUAUCAGAAGUGCGAAUGCUGACAUAAGUAACGAUAAAGCGGGUGAAAAGCCCGCUCGCCGGAAGACCAAGGGUUCCUGUCCAACGUUAAUCGGGGCAGGGUGAGUCGACCCCUAAGGCGAGGCCGAAAGGCGUAGUCGAUGGGAAACAGGUUAAUAUUCCUGUACUUGGUGUUACUGCGAAGGGGGGACGGAGAAGGCUAUGUUAGCCGGGCGACGGUUGUCCCGGUUUAAGCAUGUAGGCUG
rnacentral:rRNA from 1 species